rnacentral:rRNA from 1 species
GAUGGACGCUGGCGGCGUGCCUAAUACAUGCAAGUCGAGCGAACAGAUAAGGAGCUUGCUCCUUUGACGUUAGCGGCGGACGGGUGAGUAACACGUGGGUAACCUACCUAUAAGACUGGGAUAACUUCGGGAAACCGGAGCUAAUACCGGAUAAUAUUUCGAACCGCAUGGUUCGAUAGUGAAAGAUGGUUUUGCUAUCACUUAUAGAUGGACCCGCGCCGUAUUAGCUAGUUGGUAAGGUAACGGCUUACCAAGGCGACGAUACGUAGCCGACCUGAGAGGGUGAUCGGCCACACUGGAACUGAGACACGGUCCAGACUCCUACGGGAGGCAGCAGUAGGGAAUCUUCCGCAAUGGGCGAAAGCCUGACGGAGCAACGCCGCGUGAGUGAUGAAGGUCUUCGGAUCGUAAAACUCUGUUAUUAGGGAAGAACAUACGUGUAAGUAACUGUGCACGUCUUGACGGUACCUAAUCAGAAAGCCACGGCUAACUACGUG